rnacentral:lncRNA from 1 species
UCAGAUUUUAAAUAGAGUCCAACUCAGUUAAAUCUCCUCUAGACCUGGCAAAGACCUAGAAAGGGAAAGAGAUUCUAAAGAUGCAAAAUUUUACCCCACAAAAGGCUUUGCAGGGCCAUUUCAACAUAUGUCAGAUAAAUAUAUUUUGAAGUAAAGUGUGUUAAUUUCUUUCAGGGUCUGCUGUCAUGUGAUGCUAUACCAGAGUCAAGCUGGAAUUUGGCAUCUUAGUGCCAAAGGGUCUGUUUCAUCCAUGAAGGGAUGUCUAUUUUAAUGUUAAUGCUGGUGAGAAAAUUGAGGUAUAAACGGGGUAAUUUGUCCAAAGUACUGCAGCUUGUGUCAGAGACGGGAGUUGAGCCAGAAAACCUAGUACCAGAGACCAUCCUCAUAACUUCCCUGCUGUCACAGCUCUUCAAGGAUGUUAAGAAUGUCCAUGAUGCUGAUAUUUUAGCAUAAAAACAGGUUGAUUGGUCUGGAAAUUCACAUGGCAAUUAUUAACAUUGAUAAUCUUUCUCUGUUCCUCCAUGUUUAUAAGCAGACUUGCCACACAGAUUUAAAUAAAGGUGCUUUGUUCCAUGGCCUAGCUGAUUUUAGAUUCCUGAGUUAUGAGUAAGUUACCUCUGGGAGGCUCACAGGCUUUGAGUAUUGGAGUCUUUUGAUUUGUGUGGGGAUCCACUGCUCCUGCUACUGACUAGGUAGCCUGCUUUAACUGUUAUUGAGCUUUAUUGAGCUGAGGGUCAGAUUUUUUCAAAGACCAGAGAGCUCUGGGAACAGGGCCCUUGCUCCUGGACAGUGAAGAUAACUGAUGGAAAGAUUGUCUGUUAGACCAAAUAGACAGCACUUUCAGAAAUUCUGGAAGGGUAUGAUGGCUGUUUGGGCAAGAAUUGUGGUGGAGACAGAGAGAAACGCAUAAAUAUAAGGAUUGUUUAAUAAGAACUUCAUAAUGAAUUGAAUUAUGGGGUGAGGGGAAAUGAGGAAGUAAGGGUGUUGAGUUUCUAGCUUUUGUUACUAGAUGAAAGGUCAUUUAUUUUAAUUUGUUAGGAAACAGUACAGAAAGUGGACUAGUUUCAGAAUGAGAGAAGGAAGAUCAUAAACUCUAUUGGGGGGUUGUCGUGUUUUAGGUCUCUUGAAACAUCCAGGAAGAUAAACCAAGGAGGCCAUUGGACAUAGGGGUCUGAAGCUCAGAAGAGAGGUCUGGACGAGAGACAACAUUAGUGUGUCAUCCACAUAUGGUGGUGAUAGGAUCCACAGGCUUGUAUGACAUACUCUAGGAAAAAUGUUGAGUGAGAAGAAAAGCAGGCUUAGGAUCCAGUUUUGAAGGGUCCCAAAAUAGCAUGGUCAGGUAGAGAAGAAUGAGCCUACGAAGUAAAUAGCAGCAGUGAUCAUCCCAUUCCUGUCUCUAGGGGUCAGCUGAUCUCCAUGCUCCCCCCACUAUUUCCAUCAAGGUUAGCACUGAGUAGACAUGGAAUUAGGCAGUGAGCUGAGCCUCUUCAAUUAGAAUGAGGCAAGUAAGAGAGCAAACAGCAGCAGACAGGGGGCCUGAUGUGAAAGAGGAGCCUUGGUAAUUUGUGUCUGAAGGUCACUAGACUAUCCUACCAAUGUGGUUGUUUUUUCUGUCCAGAGCGAUGAGCAAGGUGUUCUUGUAAAAAGAAAGCCAGAUGUUCUUCUUUGGCUAAUUUUGCUGGGGAAGUCUCCAAGGAAUGAGGUGGGAAUUGAAGACACGUCUUAUCUGAAGAACUAGAAAACUUCUAAUCCCUGGCACCUGUUCUGCCAUGUGAUGACACAGCAAGAAAGCCCUCACCGGAUGCUGAUACUUUGAUCUUGGACUUCCCAGCCUCCAGAACUG